AACCCUUCUUGGCCUCUAAAGAAAAUGGCAGAAACAUCAUCCGAGCCUGCUGGGCAACUUGGGCAGCUUGUUGUACACUCAGGCACUCACAGUGACACUGUCCUGGCCAGUUUCGAGGACCAGAGGAAGAAAGGUUUUCUCUGUGACAUUACUUUAAUUGUGGAGAAUGUGCAUUUCCGGGCCCACAAAGCCUUACUGGCUGCCAGUAGCGAAUACUUCUCCAUGAUGUUUGCUGAAGAAGGGGAGAUUGGCCAGUCCAUUUAUAUGCUGGAAGGCAUGGUAGCCGACACAUUUGGUAUCCUGCUAGAGUUUAUCUACACGGGUUAUCUCCAGGCCAGUGAGAAAAGUACAGAACAAAUCCUGGCUACUGCUCAGUUCUUAAAAGUCUAUGACCUGGUAAAGGCAUACACAGAUUUUCAAAACAACCAUAGCUCCCCAAAACCGACGACUUUGAACACAGCUGGUGCUCCAGUGGUUGUUAUUUCUAAUAAGAAAAAUGAUCCACCGAAGCGGAAACGGGGAAGACCAAGAAAAGUCAACAAUUUGCAGGAGGGAAAAUCAGAACUGGCUGCAGAGGAAGAAAUACAGCUGAGAGUGAACAAUUCCGUUCAGAAUAGACAAAACUUUGUGGUUAAAGAGGGAGAUAAUGGUGUACUGAAUGAACAGACUGGAGCAAAAGAAAUGGAAGAAUCUGAGCCUGCUUGUGAGCUAGGUAGAGGGGAGGAAACGGGAAUGCCUGCUGAAAAAGAUGAGAACUGUGAUCCUAAGAUCCAGGAUGGGCAGGACCACCAGACUCGGUACAGCAAGAGGAGGAUUCAGAGAUCCAUCAAACUGAAAGAUUACAAACUUGUUGGGGAUGAAGAAGACCUGGUUUCAGCCAAGAGGGUCUGUGGAAGGAGAAAGCGUCCCAUUGGCCCUGAGGCCCGUUGUAAAGACUGUGGCAAAGUCUUCAAGUAUAACCACUUUUUAGCAAUCCACCAGAGGAGCCACACGGGGGAGCGACCUUUCAAAUGUAAUGAGUGUGGGAAAGGCUUUACCCAGAAGCACUCCCUGCAGGUCCACACCCGGAUUCACACAGGCGAGCGGCCGUACACCUGCACCGUGUGCAGCAAGGCUCUCACCACCAAGCACUCGCUGCUGGAGCACAUGAGCCUGCACUCAGAAGUCUUUUACCUGUGAUCAGUGUGGAAAAUAUUACAGCCAGAAAAGACAACUGAAAAGCCAUUACCGAGUACAUACAGGCCACUCAUUACCGGAAUGCAACCACUGCCAUCGCAAAUUCAUGGACGUGUCUCAGCUGAAGAAACACCUACGAACACACACAGGUGAGAAGCCGUUUACAUGUGAAAUCUGUGGCAAAUCUUUCACAGCAAAGAGUUCUCUUCAGACCCACAUCAGAAUCCAUCGAGGAGAGAAGCCAUACUCCUGUGGCAUAUGUGGCAAAUCCUUCUCCGACUCCAGUGCCAAGAGGAGACACUGCAUUCUACACACAGGCAAAAAGCCUUUCUCCUGCCCCGAGUGUAACUUACAGUUUGCUCGCUUAGACAACUUGAAGGCUCACUUGAAAAUCCAUAGCAAAGAGAAACAUGCAGCAGAUGCCAGCAGCAUUUCUGGCAGUAAUAAUACUGAAGAGGUCAGGAACAUUCUUCAGCUGCAGCCUUAUCAACUCUCUACCUCCGGAGAGCAGGAAAUACAGCUUCUUGUAACCGAUUCUGUACAUAAUAUCAAUUUCAUGCCUGGUCCUAGUCAAGGAAUCAGCAUCGUUGCUGCAGAGAGUUCCCAGAACAUGACUGCAGACCAGGCUGCUAAUCUCACGCUGCUCACACAGCAGCCAGAACAACUGCAGAAUUUAAUUCUCUCAGCUCAACAGGAGCAAACAGAACACAUUCAGAGCCUCAAUGUGAUUGAAAGCCAGAUGGAACCCUCACAGAGCGAGCCUGUGCACGUUAUUGCACUUUCCAAGGAAACCUUGGAGCAUCUGCACGCCCAUCAAGAGCAAACGAGGGAGCUCCGUUUAGCAAGUGCUGCACAUCCAGCUCAGCACCUGCAGCUGACACCGCAGUCUGCUCCGCCGCCACCCAGCCACCAUGUGCCGCAGCCCACACCGAUGAGCCAGGAGCAGAGCUGACCUGCAAACACGUUUGACUGCUCUACUGGUCUCUUCUCCAUCAGCCAGCUGUAACUGGAUUGUGUGCUUGAAGUCAGGCUUCCUGAAACCUCACUCACAGAUCCUUACGGAAUUGUGCUAGCUAGCUGAUAGUCAUAAUGUUUCCUUCCAGGCAGCAAGAUGUGUGCAUUAUGUCCCCUAUAUAGUACUGAAAGGGAUUAAGCAUUUCACUAUUGAUAAAUGGUUUUCAUUUCAUCUACUGCAUCUCAAAAAGACUUGGGUAAUUUUUCUUUGGGGGUAUUGGUUUAAAUUUUCCAUAAGUACUAUAUGUUCACAGCAAUAGGUUACGGUCUUGCUGACCUUUCCAGUUAUAGUUU